UCUUGGGCACACCCCGUCCCUGCGUCUCCGCCUCGGGCUCCACUGUGCAGGUAAAGGAGGGCACCAUCUUGAACCCAAGGAGAAGAGUCACAUUGCCUUUGGUUCGGGCUUCAGACCCAAAACAAAACAAAACAAAAACUGCCUAAUAAGCAAUAUUCAAACUUGCAAGCUUAGAGCGCACAGUCCCAUGUACAUCUAUAUAUAUUCCUCAGUGAACUGAAAACAAGAGGGCUUGCUGUUGAUUCUGAUGGUUGUCUUUUCAUGGAACGUUCGCUCUAUCUGGUAGAUGUCUAAACUGCAUGUUUUACAGAAAUUUAAUUUCACUUGCUCGUCGUCAUCUCCAGUCCCCCAAAAAGGCUGCCUUUGGGAUGGAUGUCUUUGGAAAUGUUUUUUCUUUUCCUAAUCUGGAAUUUUGUUCACGCGUCUCGGUUUCGAGGUUUCCUGGGAAAAGAGUGGGAUAGCCGGCUUUGAGAAAUUAUGAGGUAACGGAUUUCUCCUUCCACUUUGCCGGUGCACUUUCCUUCCACUUUCGCUGGUCCUGGGGGUGGGGCACGCUUUAUGACACACAGGCAGAAAAUUCUGGAAAAGUGGCCCCCGGGGAUCCCCCGCCCGACCCCCGUUUGUCGCUAAUACAGGCCCGUCUCUGGAAAUUUGAGGUUGGGCCUUUGCCUGACUCUGUUGCUGCUGCUCCUUCUGCUACCGCUGACACUUGGAACCGCCGCCUCUGCGCAGCGGCCAGACGCGGCCCGGAGCGGUCCACGCAGUCGGAGAAGGGCACGGACACUGUCACUCUCCCCACCGUGUGGCACCGGCCCGCCACCCACGCAGGGGAGUCUGGGCCCGCGCCCCCCUCCCGGGCCCGCCGCAGAUGCAGGGAAAACCGCCUGACAUCAUGAGAGCGGGACAAACGCUCACUUUGAAGGAUUCCUGGGCAGGACUUCAAGUGAAAUCAUAUGCCUGAGAAGAACUUGAUACCGGUCUAGAGAAAAUAACCAGUUCUGAGUUUGCCAAACCGUGGAAUGUGCAAAAUGCUCGACUUUUUUGCAAGAGGCCAAGUGUCCCUUAAAAAGCUCUAUUAUGAAUAUGAGCCUGAAGACUGAAGCAGCAGAAAGCUUGUGCCGUUGUUGAGUGUGGGAAAAAAGUACACACAGUAUGUGAGUUUCUGCUAUUUAACCUCAUUUUAUUAAUCAUAUGUACCAGUUUAGGGAGGGUACCUGCAACCGUGCAUGAAUUAUCUAUCAUCUGUGCAUGUGCUUAUUAGCAAGUGCGUGCACGAAGAAGGGAAGUGUGUGUAUACAGAAAUGUUCUCAUAGGAAAACAAAAAUUUACUGCUUAUGACUGAAGGCUAUCAAUCCAACGAAAUUAAAAGAUUUAAUAUAUAUAUGCAUAUAUAUAUAUACGUAUAUAUAUAUGCACAGUGAAGGAAACAUUCUUACUCAGUUGUUUAGUAUUCACCCAAGGCAAUUGUAUACAGCAUUUUCUUUCCAGUAAAUGCAUUCCUGGCUAAAGAGUAGAGUCCCCUGUCCAGCCACCACAUUAAAUUCUCACUUCUGGAGCAGAGGUAAUUCAUUCUAAGUGUCCAUUAAAUAAGGAUAGGUAGCAAAAAAUAAAAUGAAAACAGGAAAUAAUGGUAGAGCGAGAGAAACACAGGUGGCUUUAUUUCUAUUCUAAAAAAGAAUUUGCGUUGUCAUGUGUAUGGGGGGAGAAGAUUGAGAAUAUAAAAAGUUUGCAAACUGAAAAUUGUAUUCUAAUAGUUAAUAUUUUCCCCCAGGAAUUAUUCUCAUUCAAAGUAAAGCUAUCUGUUACCUUUCUUUCAUUCAUUUAUUUCCCCUAAAUUCUAGGGGAAAAUAUUACCUUCAGUUUAGCAACAUAAAUAUGGCAUUUGAUUUUCUCCAAAAGGUUUUCUCUUAUCAGAAAAGUAAAGAGAAUAAAACACUAAUUUUUUAAAAAAAAUAAUAAAAAAGCCAAAUGAAAGGCUACCUUUUUUGAAACACCUGGGUUUUAUAUCAUCAGAGAUAAGAUAGAGAUUACCUUCUCAGCAAUGACGGUCAGCUCCAUCCUGAUGUACAUCAAGAAAUCUGAAAUAUCAAAUAGUUAUACCAAGCUAGUGAACAAGGAGAUUCCUCCAUGAACAGUUUAGAAAAUGGAGGUGGUAGGAUGAUACAUACACACAGAAGAGAGAAUUACCAUCUUGAUGCUCUCUCUCAUCCUUUUAGGGUACCCUCCUUACAUUUCUACCUCUCUCUCUCUCUCUCUCUCUCUCAUACACACAUUCUACAAAUAUACCCACACCCUAUAAGUACACUCACACAUAAUCACUUUCCCGGCUCAUGUAGUUAUUUGGUAAAGGACUACCAAAAUCCAAAAAUUAAUUCCCCAAGCCUUCACUAAUCUUUCAGUGUGCGUAAAUGCUACAGGCUCCUUAUCGUAAAACAUGGUCUAAGAUAUUGAGAAUAGUAAAUUUACAAUAUUGUUAUGUCAGCAUUCUCUGAUGAUGUGUGGGGAGGAAACAAAACCUUCAGGCAAUAUAAUAACCUCAAUCUGAGUUGGGCAAACAUGAUCUGUUUGGAUUCGUGUACACUUGUUUGCCAUACCUAUUGUUUCAAUUAGACAGCAAAAUUAUUUUCCAGUUUGAAAAAUUCCCGGGUUACACCUGAAUGCAGUCAACUAGAUGUAAAAGUUAAGCCCUAAGCGAUACAAACUUACUACUUCUAAUGUUGUUAGUUAUAAAAGCCAGUAUUUUCCUGGCUCAGAAAUAACCAGAAUUAAAUAAAAAUCAAGCCCCAUUUGUUUAACUGUUACUGUUUCACUUAACUUCAGAUUUUGCAUACCUGUAAGUAACCAGGGAAAAAUUGUGUAAUUUUGAAUAAAAUAUAUUUGCUAAAGAACUGACUGGAAAAUGAAAGCUCUAGCACUUAAAAUCGUAAGUGCUCCAGUAGUUA